rnacentral:rRNA from 1 species
GGCUUUUUGAUUAUAAUUUAAGGUCUAACCUGCCCAAUGAUGGUGUAUUAAAUGGCCGCGGUAUUUUGACCGUGCAAAGGUAGCAUAAUCAUUAGUUUCUUAAUUGGAAGCUUGUAUGAAGGGUUUGAUGAAAAGGGAGCUGUCUCUAUUUUAAUUUUUUAGAAAUUUAUUUUUAAGUUAAAAGGCUUAAAUAAGUAUCAAAGACGAGAAGACCCUAUAGAGUUUCAUAUUUUAUAAGGUUGUUAUAUUUAAGGAUUGUCUUGAUAAUUUUAUAAAAAUAUUUAGUUGGGGUGACUUAAAAAUUAAUUAAACUUUUUGUUAGCUAGUUUCACUGAUUUGUGAAUUUUUGAUCCUAGGAGUAGAUUAAAAAAUGAAAUUACCUUAGGGAUAACAGCGUAAUUUUUUUUAGAGUUCUUAUCGAAUAAAAGGAUUGCGACCUCGAUGUUGGAUUAAAAUUAAUUGUUGGUGAAGAAGCUAAUAAAUUGGGUCUGUUCGACCUUUAAAUU